rnacentral:rRNA from 1 species
UACGUAGGAGACGAGCGUUGUCCGGAGUUACUGGGCGUAAAGGGUGCGCAGGCGGCCUGGCGCGUCGCGAGUGAAAUCCCCCGGCUCAACCGGGGAAGGGGCGCCGAUACGACCGACCUGGAGGAACGUAGGGGGAGCUGGAACUUCCGGUGGAGCGGUGAAAUGCGCAGAUAUCAGGAGGUACACCAGUGGCGAAGGCGGUGGUCUGGGCCGGAACUGACGCUGUAGAGCGAAAGCGUGGGGAGCGAACAGG